rnacentral:lncRNA from 1 species
AUGGCAGGCCUUCAAUGUGUUAAGAUGGAUACAAUAUACAACCUUCUCCAGCAGCACAGACUGGACACCUACCACCACAAAUUCCUCACUUUGGGUGUCCAAGACGAGAGAGAUUUCACCGAUGGCGUAAAUGGUGAAGAUUUAGACAAAAUGGGUUUCAGUCAAGUAGAGAAGAAUCGCUUUGAAAAAAUGAAAGAUUUCAUCCAAAGACUCAGAGCGCCACAGCAAGCGAUGCCUGUACAAAAACCAAUGGAGUCUUUCCAACUGUGGUACACAUACCCCCACUGUCCUGAGCUAAAAGAGAUCAGAGACAUGGAUCCUGCUACCAACACCGUUGAAGACCUGAUGCUAAGGAUCUGCCACCAAGAGGGCAUUGAGAACUCUAAAGCUGUGUGCCUCUACACAGUUGAUGGAAUGCCUCUAACUGAUGAUCCUUUCUUCAACACAUGGUCUUUGAAAGACAGGCACAUUGAAAAUGGAAGUGAGCUCUAUGCCAUGUUUACACCCAAGGAGAACUUGAGACCAGCCCUGCUAGUGACACUGCAAGAAAUAACUGACAUGACAGGAGAGGAUAAUGUUCGAUGCCACAUCAUGCUCAAGGGAGACUUUGAGGUCAAGGUGGACUUGGCAAGUGACACAUUACGAGAUCUGAGACAGAAGCUCUCUGAUGAAAGUGGAAUCCCAGCACAUGUCCUCCAUUAUAAAUGUGAACGCGGUGGAGUUGGACAGACUUUGCUAGAUUGUGGAAUCAAUGAGGAGUCAACUGUGUUCUUUUCUCUGUCCUCCUUCCCUGAUGAGCGUCCAGACACUAUGGAAUUCUACUUCAAUGAUGUCGUACCCUCAGUGCAACAAUCCCAGAAAGGACUCAGUGCUUUCUUUUCUUCACUUUAUGCCAUUGUGAGAUAUUCCACUAUUUAUUACACUGUCUUGUCAUGUUUGACCAUGCUCAGGCCAAGCAUGCAACAUGGUUCCUUUGCUUGUCUCAUUGGUUUUGAUGUGAACUUCGUCCCCUGCUAUAACACAUUCAAUGCUUUCCCCCUAAUCUUUACAGAGCAAUAGAGAACACCGUUCUGGAGAUAUAUUAAGCAUAGUGACUGCAUACAUCCGAAAGCUCAGUGGGUGCAAUCCUUUGGCCCAAAGUCUGCAUCAGCUGUUGUAUAGAAAUGAGGUUGGAACAAGGACCCAGAAG